rnacentral:rRNA from 1 species
UACGAAGGGGGCUAGCGUUGCUCGGAAUGACUGGGCGUAAAGGGCGCGUAGGCGGUUUGGUUCGUUAGGCGUGAAAUUCCUGGGCUCAACCUGGGGACUGCGUUUAAUACAGCCAGACUUGAGUGUGGAAGAGGGUCGUGGAAUUCCCAGUGUAGAGGUGAAAUUCGUAGAUAUUGGGGAGAACACCGGUGGCGAAGGCGGCGACCUGGUCCAUUACUGACGCUGAGGCGCGAAAGCGUGGGGAGCAAACAGG